AUACGGGGGGUGCAAGCGUUAUUCGGAAUCAUUGGGCGUAAAGGGCACGCAGGCGGCCUGGUAAGUCAGAUGUGAAAGCCCGGGGCUUAACCCCGGAAGGGCAUUUGAAACUAUCAGGCUUGAGUAUGGGAGAGGGAAGUGGAAUUCCUGGUGUAGAGGUGAAAUUCGUAGAUAUCAGGAGGAACACCGGUGGCGAAGGCGACUUCCUGGACCAAUACUGACGCUGAGGUGCGAAGGCGUGGGGAGCAAACAGGAUUAGAAACCCCGGUAGUCC
rnacentral:rRNA from 1 species